GGCGCCGAAGAAGGAAAAGACUGGUCCACCGUCAUCGAAACCCGCUAAGUCAGGGGGAGGCAAGCAGAAAAAGAAGUGAUGGUGGUGAUUUAAGGUGGUUCUGGCCGAGAUUGAAGAGCCAUUGGAUUUGAGAAUUUUGUUUGUUUUUUUUUUGUUGUAUUGUUCAUACCAAUUUCUAAGUUUGUAGUCAUAUUUUUUUUUACUGUUAUUGUAUUUUGUUUAUGUAUUUUAUUUAAAUUAUACUUGUAUUUUUUUU